AGAGUUUGAUCCUGGCUCAGGACGAACGCUGGCGGCGUGCCUAAUACAUGCAAGUAGGACGCACAGUUUAUACCGUAGCUUGCUACACCAUAGACUGUGAGUUGCGAACGGGUGAGUAACGCGUAGGUAACCUACCUAUUAGAGGGGGAUAACUAUUGGAAACGAUAGCUAAUACCGCAUAACAGUAUGUAACACAUGUUAGAUGCUUGAAAGAUGCAAUUGCAUCGCUAGUAGAUGGACCUGCGUUGUAUUAGCUAGUAGGUAGGGUAAUGGCCUACCUAGGCAACGAUACAUAGCCGACCUGAGAGGGUGAUCGGCCACACUGGGACUGAGACACGGCCCAGACUCCUACGGGAGGCAGCAGUAGGGAAUCUUCGGCAAUGGGGGGAACCCUGACCGAGCAACGCCGCGUGAGUGAAGAAGGUUUUCGGAUCGUAAAGCUCUGUUGUUAAGGAAGAACGAGUGUGAGAAUGGAAAGUUCAUGCUGUGACGGUACUUAACCAGAAAGGGACGGCUAACUACGUGCCAGCAGCCGCGGUAAUACGUAGGUCCCGAGCGUUGUCCGGAUUUAUUGGGCGUAAAGCGAGCGCAGGCGGUUAGAAAAGUCUGAAGUGAAAGGCAGUGGCUCAACCAUUGUAGGCUUUGGAAACUGUUUAACUUGAGUGCAGAAGGGGAGAGUGGAAUUCCAUGUGUAGCGGUGAAAUGCGUAGAUAUAUGGAGGAACACCGGUGGCGAAAGCGGCUCUCUGGUCUGUAACUGACGCUGAGGCUCGAAAGCGUGGGGAGCGAACAGGAUUAGAUACCCUGGUAGUCCACGCCGUAAACG
rnacentral:rRNA from 1 species